UACAGAGGUCUCGAGCGUUAAUCGGAAUCACUGGGCUUAAAGGGUGCGUAGGCGGACUCGUAAGUGCUUUGUGAAAUCCCAUGGCUCAACCAUGGAAUUGCUUGGCAUACUGCGAGUCUUGAGGUCGGUAGGGGCUGCUGGAACUCUAGGUGGAGCGGUGAAAUGCGUAGAUAUCUAGAGGAACGCCAAAGGUGAAGACAGGCAGCUGGGCCGAUUCUGACGCUGAGGCACGAAAGCGUGGGGAGCAAACGGG
rnacentral:rRNA from 1 species